rnacentral:lncRNA from 1 species
CAGCCCUCAAACAGCUUUGGGAACAGCUUUGUAGGAGAGGGAAGGUGACACCUUUCAGUAGCACAAUAUUUUUAACCUUGGUUUGCUGCUGCGAGAGGCUCAGGUUUUGAAAUGCGUCGCCGAUGGUGGAGGAACAUGAUUGAGGCUACCAUUAUAUUGGAGGAAAUAGUUUUAAAGCCUCAUGCUAUCAGAUGAUGCUGUGUGUGUCCGAAGUGCUGUAUCUGCCUGCGCUGUGCCUCUGCCUCAAGACUUUCACACACAGCACAAUGAGCCCGGGACACAAAGCUCAGGGAUGGUGCAAGUGCACUGCAAGAGAGGACUCGCCUUUACUAUACAGAAUUGCUGAAGCUCAGCAAAG